rnacentral:rRNA from 1 species
AUAUUCCUGUACCGAUGUGUAGUGCGAUGUGGGGACGGAGAAGGUUAGCUCAGCCAACUGUUGGAUAUGUUGGUUCAAGCCUGUAGUCGUGCCUGGUAGGUAAAUCCGCCGGGCUUAGAUGAGGGGUGAUAACGAGGAAGCUUGCUUCCGAAGUGAGUGAUACCCUGCUUCCAGGAAAAGCCACUAAGCUUCAGCUACACACGACCGUACCGCAAACCGACACUGGUGCGCGAGAUGAGUAUUCUAAGGCGCUUGAGAGAACUCGGGAGAAGGAACUCGGCAAAUUGACACCGUAACUUCGGAAGAAGGUGUGCCUUUAGUAGGUGAAGGGAUUUACUCCUGGAGCCCAAUGAGGUUGCAAAAAAUCGGUGGCUGCGACUGUUUAUUAAAAACACAGCACUCUGCAAACACGAAAGUGGACGUAUAGGGUGUGACGCCUGCCCGGUGCUGGAAUAUUAAAUGAUGGGGUGCAAGCUCUUGAUUGAAGUCCCAGUAAACGGCGGCCGUAACAAUAUCGGUCCUAAGGUAGCGAAAUUCCUUGUCGGGUAAGUUCCGACCUGCACGAAUGGCGUAACGAUGGCCACACUGUCUCCUCCCGAGACUCAGCGAAGUUGAAAUGUUUGUGAUGAUGCAAUCUCCCCGCGGAAAGACGGAAAGACCCCAUGAACCUUUACUGUAGCUUUGUAUUGGACUUUGAACGGAUCUGUGUAGGAUAGGUGGGAGGCUUUGAAGCAGGGUCGCUAGAUCUUGUGGAGCCAACGUUGAAAUACCACCCUGGUGCGUUUGAGGUUCUAACCUAGGUCCAUUAUCUGGAUCGGGGACAGUGCAUGGUAGGCAGUUUGACUGGGGCGGUCUCCUCCCAAAGCGUAACGGAGGAGUUCGAAGGUACGCUAGUUACGGUCGGACAUCGUGACGAUAGUGCAAUGGCAUAAGCGUGCUUAACUGCGAGACUGACAAGUCGAGCAGAUGCGAAAGCAGGACAUAGUGAUCCGGUGGUUCUGUAUGGAAGGGCCAUCGCUCAACGGAUAAAAGGUACUCUGGGGAUAACAGGCUGAUACCGCCCAAGAGUUCAUAUCGACGGCGGUGUUUGGCACCUCGAUGUCGGCUCAUCUCAUCCUGGGGCUGUAGCCGGUCCCAAGGGUAUGGCUUUCGCCAUUUAAAGAGGUACGUGAGCUGGGUUUAAAACGUCGUGAGACAGUUUGGUCCCUAUCUUCCGUGGGCGCUGCAGAUUUGAGGAAGCCUGCUCCUAGUACGAGAGGACCGGAGUGGACACACCUCUGGUGUAUCGGUUGUCACGCCAGUGGCAUUGCCGAGUAGCUAAGUGUGGAAGGGAUAACCGCUGAAAGCAUCUAAGCGGGAAACUCGUUUCAAGAUGAGAUCUGCCGGGGCCUUGAGCCCCCUGAAGAGUCGUUCUAGACCAGGACGUUGAUAGGUCAGGUGUGGAAGC